UGUAUUUAAUAGGUACACAAUUAUUUAAAUACCAUCAAAAAUUCUAUCGUUGAAAGAUUCAACCAGCGUUGAGUGUUGACUAUAUCAUCAGCAAUUUAUUAGAUAUUAUGAUGAAACAUCAGAAGGGACAAAACCGACCGGAUCACAACCACUAUACUUUAAUGGUUGCUGAAACACUAGAAAAGCGAGUUGAAUACUUGCGAGUGCUGCGAGCUUAUAUACCUGCUCUAAGAAUUGCUGCAACACCCGAAGUGCGAUAAACAAGGGGUACACAACGUGAAACUAAACGCUUAACAGGGAAGUCAAGCCAAUCAAGAACGAUAAUCGAUAUCAAAAAAGCCGCGUUUAAUUACGAUAAAGACUAAGAAUAUUAAAUUUGUAUUUAAUAUUGAACUAUCACACAAAAAAGGGCAACCAAAUUUAACAAGGAUGCUUUUUUAUGGACAACGAAGUAUAUAGACUACUAUUAAUCUAUAUAAAUUCUUUAUAUUGAGGGAAAUAUCCAAAAUUGGGCUAAACACAAAUUUUGAACACGACUCAACAGAAAACAUAGCUGCAGUAUGUGAUCCAACUUAAUAUCUUGUUUUAACGACCUACACGUGUUGAUGAGUUAGAUUAUGGUAUCAUUGGUAUGCCCUGGAUUUCAAUGUAAAGUGUAUUAGUUUAAGCCGUUUAAAGGUGCUCUGUGCUCUAGGUCAAUACAAUUCAAGUAUAUUAUGAUUUGUUUUAUGUGUAAUAGACUUAUAGAUACAGUGGUGGAUUCAGGGGAGAGGCACAGGGGCACGUGCCCUCCCUGUCAAUU